ensembl:lincRNA 4930440C22Rik RIKEN cDNA 4930440C22 gene
AAGGGAAGGGAUUUCAUAGCAACAUUGCAUUUGGAGCUAAAGUGUACUUUCUGUGACAAAGAUGCUAGAUCAUAAGGAGAAAGAUCCUACGUGGGCUCAACUUCUUCAUGUUCAAUGAAUUGUGAUGGGUUCUUGACAAUUUUUGGACAGCAAACUGUAGCAGCUUUACUUUUUGACAGCUUUCUUAAAUUAUAAGACUCAUGUCAUCUAUUCAAGAACAAAAGAAACAGUUAUCAGAGUGAAGAGGAAACCUACAGAAUGGGAGAAAUGUUUGUAAACAACUCAUCUGAUAAAUUAUUAAUAUACAGCAUCUAUAAAGACUCAAAUGACUUAAAUGAGAAAAUGUAUACUUGAAGACUGAAUGCCUGACAAGACUGAAAGGAACACUUGGCAAACACCCAAAGGCUUAAUCUUACCCAAUAUAGAAGUCACCCAGAUUAUGGGUCUGAAGAAUUCCCAAGGAAGAGAACCAAAUGCAGAAUACAGAUAAAAAGAUUUUAUCUUAUUAAUAU